rnacentral:rRNA from 1 species
AACGAACGCUGGCGGCAUGCCUAACACAUGCAAGUCGAACGGGACCUUCGGGUCUUGUGGCGCACGGCUGCUUGCCGCCGGGUAACUUACCCUUAGGUACGGAACCACUCCCCGAGAGGGGUCCUAAUAACGCAGGAUUUAUUCCGCCCAAAGAUUUCUCGCGUUUGGGUGGGCCCGCGUGGGCUUAGGCUGUUGGUAGGGUAAAAGCCUACUAAGGCCACGAUUGAUAGCUGGUCUGAGAGGCUGAUCCCACACACCGGGGCUAAGACGCAGCCCAGACUCCUACGGGAGGGGGCAGUGGGGAAUAUAGGAAAACGGGCGAAGGGCUGAUACAGCAAGGGCGGGUGAGUGAUGAAGGCCUUAGGGAAGUAAAGCGCUCUUACACGGGAUGAUAAUGACAGUACCGGGAGAAUAAGCACCGGCUAACUACGUG